AUGGCUACCUGCAUCAAGAUGUUUUUUUUCAUUGCGAUUCUGUGCAUUGCUUCUAUUUUGACUCCAGGUGGAGCAUUUGGUUAUCCACUUUACUGUGAAAAAAGUGACUUCUGUCCAAAAAAUGAUGAUGCUUGUUCUGACCGAUGUCACAAACUUGGUUACCGUACCGGCGGUCUCUGUCAAGGAGUACACUUUUGUUGUUGCGGAUUCUAG